rnacentral:rRNA from 1 species
GGUUGAUCCCGCCGGACCUGACUGCUAUCGGAUUGGUACUAAGCCAUGCGAGUCAUUGCAGCAAUGCAAGGCGGACGGCUCAGUAACACGUAGUCAAUCUACCUUAUGGACGUGGAUAACCUCGGGAAACUGAGAAUAAACCACGAUAGAUCAUUAUGCCUGGAAUGGCUUAUGGUCGAAACAGUUUACUGCCAUAGGAUGGGACUGCGGCCUAUCAGCUUGUUGGUGAGGUAAUGGCUCACCAAGGCUAUAACAGGUACGGGCUCUGAGAGGAGAAGCCCGGAGAUGGGUACUGAGACACGGACCCAGGCCCUAUGGGGCGCAGCAGGCGAGAAACCUUAGCAAUGUGCGAAAGCACGACUGGGUCAGUCCGAGUGAUUCCUGCUAAAGGAAUCUUUUGCUUGUCCUAAAAGCACAGGUGAAUAAGGGGUGGGCAAGUCUGGUGUCAGCCGCCGCGGUAAUACCAGCACCUCGAGUGGUCAGGACGUUUAUUGGGCCUAAAGCAUCCGUAGCCGGCUUUGCAAGUCUCCGGUUAAAUCCACCUGCUCAACAGAUGGGCCGCUGGAGAUACUACAGAGCUAGGGAGUGGGAGAGGCGGACGGUAUUCGGGGGGUAGGGGUAAAAUCCUCUGAUCCUCCGAGGACCACCAGUGGCGAAGGCGGCCUGCCAGAACACGUUCGACGGUGAGGGAUGAAAGCUGGGGGAGCAAACCGGAUUAGAUACCCGGGUAGUCCCAGCUGUAAACGAUGCAAACUCGGUGAUGCGUUGGCUUAUGGCCAACGCAGUGCCGCAGGGAAGCCGUUAAGUUCGCCGCCUGGGAAGUACGGCCGCAAGACUGAAACUUAAAGGAAUUGGCGGGGGAGCACCACAAGGGGUGAAGCCUGCGGUUCAAUUGGAGUCAACGCCGGGUUGGGGAAGCCGUUAAGUUCGCCGCCUGGGAAGUACGGCCGCAAGACU